GAUUAUGGCUCAGGAUGGACGCUGGCGGCGUGCCUAAUACAUGCAAGUCGAACGAGAUGUAGCAAUACAUCUAGUGGCGAACGGGUGAGUAACACGUAUUCAAUCUGCCCUAACGACUGGGAUACCCUCGGGAAACCUUGGCUAAUACCGGAUAGGAAAUCGAAUCGCAUGAUUUGAUUUUUAAAGGAUCUUUUGAUUCACGAUAGGAUGAGAAUGCGGCGCAUUAGUUAGUUGGUGAGAUAAAAGCCCACCAAGACGAGGAUGCGUAGCCGACCUGAGAGGGUGAUCGGCCACAAUGGAACUGAGACACGGUCCAUACUCCUACGGGAGGCAGCAGUAGGGAGUUUUCGGCAAUGGGGGCAACCCUGACCGAGCAACGCCGCGUGAGUGAUGAAGGCCCCUAUGGGUCGUAAAAUUCUGUUAUAUGGGACGAAUCAUAUCACUGAGAGAAACGGUGGUAUCUGACUGUACCAUAUGAGAAAGGAACGGCUAACUACGUGCCAGCCGCCGC
rnacentral:rRNA from 1 species